rnacentral:lncRNA from 1 species
UAGGGAUUUGCUCACUACACCAGCUCAACCAGCAAACUCUAGAUUCUCGAUUGUUGGAAUUCUUGCUUCAGAGGUGAUCGGCAUUCCCACUAUUUCUCAGCGUUUGUUGUUGUUAUUGAAGGCUUAUAGUUGAUUUCUCUCUCCUUAGUCAGGGCCUGCUAACAGCAUGUCUGGAGGACUACUGGGCUGCUUAUGAUCGAACAAGGUAAGUUGCGUGUGCCUAUCACAUUCUUCCAGACUUUAGUCUGUAACAACUCUUUUGUUUUACU